AUGAGGCAGAGGGAGGAAUUUGAGAGUUGUGGAAGAUUGAUGGAGAUUACAAAUUUAAAGAAUGCAGUCUGUGAGCUUUUGUGUCUAUUGUUGGCCAGUUCUUGGUUGGUAUAUGGAGUUGAGUGUAAGGUUUAUGUGUUAGGGCAGUGUAAUGGGAAGGCAAAAGGAGGAUCGGAUGGUAUGGAGGUUAUUGAAAAAAGGUUCAGUGUUGAGGAGGGAGUGGGGAUAUUUUGA